CUACGGGUCGCAGCAGUGAGGAAUAUUGCGCAAUGGGCGAAAGCCUGACGCAGCAACGCCGCGUGGAUGAUGAAGGCCUUCGGGUUGUAAAAUCCUUUUUUGGGGAACGAUAAUGACGGUACCUCAAGAAUAAGUCCCGGCUAACUACGUGCCAGCGAGCGCGCGGUAAAACGUAGGGGGCGAGCGUUAUCCGGAUUUACUGGGCGUAAAGCGCACGUAGGCGGUGCCGUAAGUUGGAUGUGAAAGCUCCUGGCUUAACUGGGAGAGGUCGUUCAAAACUGCGGUGCUUGAGGAUAGGAGAGGAGAGUAGAAUUCCCGGUGUAGUGGUGGAAUGCGUAGAUAUCGGGAGGAAUACCAGUGGCGAAGGCGGCUCUCUGGUCUAUACCUGACGCUGAGGUGCGAAAGCGUGGGGAGCGAACGGGAUUAGAUACCCCAGUAGUC
rnacentral:rRNA from 1 species